rnacentral:rRNA from 1 species
GACGAACGCUGGCGGCGUGCUUAACACAUGCAAGUCGAACGGUAAGGCCCCAGCUUGCUGGGGUACACGAGUGGCGAACGGGUGAGUAACACGUGGGUGACCUGCCCCGCACUUCGGGAUAAGCCUGGGAGACUGGGUCUAAUACCGGAUACGACCGCACUGUGCGGGUGUGGUGGAAAGUUUUUCGGUGUGGGAUGGGACCGCGGCCUAUCAGCUUGUUGGUGGGGUAAUGGCCUACCAAGGCGGCGACGGGUAGCCGGCCUGAGAGGGUGGACGGCCACAUUGGGACUGAGACACGGCCCAGACUCCUACGGGAGGCAGCAGUGGGGAAUAUUGCACAAUGGGCGGAAGCCUGAUGCAGCGACGCCGCGUGGGGGAUGACGGCCUUCGGGUUGUAAACUCCUUUCACCAUCGACGAAGGUUUUCUGACGGUAGAUGGAGAAGAAGCACCGGCUAACUACGUG